GACGAACGCUGGCGGCGUGCUUAACACAUGCAAGUCGAACGGAAAGGCCCUGCUUUUGUGGGGUGCUCGAGUGGCGAACGGGUGAGUACCACGUGAGUAACCUGCCCUUGACUUUGGGAUAACUUCAGGAAACUGGGGCUAAUACCGGAUAGGAGCUCCUGCUGCAUGGUGGGGGUUGGAAAGUUUCGGCGGUUGGGGAUGGACUCGCGGCUUAUCAGCUUGUUGGUGGGGUAGUGGCUUACCAAGGCUUUGACGGGUAGCCGGCCUGAGAGGGUGACCGGCCACAUUGGGACUGAGAGACGGCGCAGACUCCUACGGUAGGCAGCAGUGGGGAAUAUUGCACAAUGGGCGGAAGCCUGAUGCAGCAACGCCGCGUGCGGGAUGACGGCCUUCGGGUUGUAAACCGCUGUCGCCUGUGACGAAGCGUGAGUGACGGUAAUGGGUAAAGAAGCACCGGCUAACUACGUG
rnacentral:rRNA from 1 species